rnacentral:rRNA from 1 species
AGUGAACGCUGGCGGUAGGCCUAACACAUGCAAGUCGAACGGCAGCACAGUAAGAGCUUGCUCUUACGGGUGGCGAGUGGCGGACGGGUGAGGAAUACAUCGGAACCUAUUUUUUCGUGGGGGAUAACGUAGGGAAACUUACGCUAAUACCGCAUACGACCUACGGGUGAAAGCAGGGGAUCUUCGGACCUUGCGCGAUUGAAUGAGCCGAUGUCGGAUUAGCUAGUUGGCGGGGUAAAGGCCCACCAAGGCGACGAUCCGUAGCUGGUCUGAGAGGAUGAUCAGCCACACUGGAACUGAGACACGGUCCAGACUCCUACGGAAGGCAGCAGUGGGGAAUAUUGGACAAUGGGCGCAAGCCUGAUCCAGCCAUACCGCGUGGGUGAAGAAGGCCUUCGGGUUGUAAAGCCCUUUUGUUGGGAAAGAAAAGCAGCAGGUUAAUACCCCGCUGUUCUGACGGUACCCAAAGAAUAAGCACCGGCUAACUUCGU